rnacentral:lncRNA from 1 species
AGGUUAGCAGUGGGAUAAUACAAAUCGUGUGAUCGUAAGAGGUAGAAUAAGUCGCACCUUUUUUUCGCCGCAAAUACUUAGUCUUAGCUCCACUCUGCUCUCUUUUUACCAAUCAGGCAACCACACACCUUUUAUCCAAUAUCCAUAUCCCUCCGAGUCUUCUACACAAACAUCUUAAGGCUUAUUUCACAGAGAAACAAGUAUCAAAGAAGAGCAAAGAGUAUAUCAACAACAAUGUAUAUUUUACCGUCUGAAUCAAAACGCCUCUUUUUAGUCCCUAUCUUGGCCGUGAUGGCCAUACAAUUUCUCUUUGUACGCACUGUUUCGUCAGUGAACAUGACAAAUACAUAUCUACACCACAAAUGCUUUGUCGAUCAAGGGAAAUACGAGCCGGGAAGUAAGUAUGAGGAAAACCUAAACUUUAUCAUCGAACCAAUCCCUGUAACGAGUGAGAGUUUUGAAAGAGGUACCAAAAUGGAAAUGAUCGGAGAAGGUCCUGAU